rnacentral:misc_RNA from 1 species
UGCGAAAUUCAAAUAACAUUACCCUACUUAAAAAUGGGUAAAACCAUUCACUGUAACUUUAUGUCUGUUGUCCUCUGCACAAUGGCAGAAAAAGGGAAGAAAAAGGACUAUAGUAUGUGGUCCCAUUGCCCAUAAUCUUACAAUAUAACAAGGACAAGAAAGAACAAAUAAAAAUCUUACAAUAUCUCUAUUGGCCAUAGAGACACAAAUAUAAACAAUGUGUUGAACUAAAUGAGAACUCUUACUAAUUUACUGCUGCUGCAGCCAUUCCUGGAUUGCUGAUCGAAGGGCAUGGUUGGGCACCAGAUUGCUGUGUGCAAGCUGAAGGUUGGUCAUGGGCGAAGUUUCGUGUCCACUGUCCAGCCAUCCUCUUAAAGCCUCUGCUUCAUAAGUAUAACCAUCAGCUGCUACAUGGGGAUCUCGCAUAACUUCCUGGAAAAUUGGGCAUAUAAAAUAUGGAGGAGGUUGGCAAUGCUCUUCUGAACCAAGCCGGAAACAUGAUGAGCCUCCACAUGAAGCUUUCAUUGGUUCAAGUACCCUCCAUACUUCUGAUGCAAGAUCUGGCCGGCUCUUUCGAUUCAUUUCACAACAUCUCAGCGCCAAGUGGGCCAACUGUUCUGCCUGCACAAAUGGCCAAUCUCCGGCCAAAGGAUCCAAGAGGAUUUUCAAGUUUCCUUUAUCUAAUGCAUACUGCACCUCCUUUGUUAUCCCCAAGGCUGGUCUUCCAGUCAACAGCCUUAGCAAUAUAAUCCCAAAUGAAUAAACAUCUGACUUUGGACUAAGCUCCCCCAAGGAAAGAAACUCAGGAUCCAUGUAUGCAAAAGUGCCUUUUGGGUCAGUUCUGCAACAUAUUGUUGCGUUGAUGCUUGCACCUUCAUUUUGAGAAAGUAGACGACAGAUUCCGAAAUCGCUUAGUUUACUCACAAAAUUGGCAUCAAGAAGGAUAUUAGCAGGUUUUAGAUCGCCAUGCACUAUGCUGUGUGGUUUACUAGAGUGAAGAAAGAUAAGGACAGAGCAUAACUCAGUAGCGAUGCGUAUUCGAGUUUGCCAAGACAAAGGAGGAGAAUUACCCCUGCAGCACAGUCGGUCUUCAAGGCUUCCAUUGGGAAGAUACUCGUAGAUAAGAGUCCAUGCUUCUGGACAAGCGCCAAUGAGAGUAACAAGAUUCGGAUGCCUCAUGUUGCUCAAAACAUCAACCUGAUAUACGGCCAAAAGACAUCAUGCAGUACCAAAAAUAAAUAUUAAAUUCCAGCCUUCUAAAUAGCAGAUGUGAUUAUUUUCCCUUCUUUGGUAAACAGGCCACCAUAAAAGAACAUGAGUGUACUAUUUAACUUCUUAAUGUUCAAAUGUUACUUAGCCUGUCAUAAUUGCCAUUCCAAAUCCUAUCGAUGUUGGGCAUACAUAACUGGCUAGCACCAUAUUGUUAUACUAAUGUUUAAUCUAACAAGCAAUGCAAAAUAUAUUCACAAACUUAAAAAAAGCACCCAUGCCAAAUUACACAAAACAAGUAGUAAGAACUAAGAAGACAUACCAACUGCACUCAAGUGCUUUUUGACAAGACAGUUUAGCAAUUGCUUAACAGCAGAAGACAAAGUUACAAACUCCAAUAAAAAAAUAUACCUAGCUGAAAUACACCAUAUUAGGAACCUAAUUGGAACAAAUUAUUUUAUAUGAAAACCAAAUUUCUAAUAAUAAUAUUCUUGGUAAUUUAGAUUUUCAACUCAUGCUUAAUGGAAAUUUCAUGCCAGAAAAUGCUGUAUAAAUGAAAAAUUAAAGAGAAUUAAUUAUACCUCCUGCUGAAAUUCUGCAGGUCCUUGCAAACUAUUAGAGUGCAGCACCUUUAUAGCCACUUGGGUGUGACGCAAGAAGCCUUUAUAAAUACUACCAUAUCCCCCUUCCCCAAUUUUGAGAUCUUGAUUAAAGUUCUGAGUUGCUUCUUCAAUCUCAGAGAAACAGAAAUCAGAGAAGAACUGUGGCAUGCUCGAACUUGAGGCCUCAGUUCGGCUCUUCCUCAGCUCCUCUGCUUCUUUGAGUGCAUUAUCACGCUCCAUCAGCAAUUCAUCUCGUUCAUUUUUGUAAUUUUGCAACAGUUCCACAGCAGAGAUGAUUUUUUGUUCCAACUCCUUUACCAUCUGAUCAUUAUCUGCAAUUUGUCUCUCCAGCGAUUUUUUUUGAUCCAGGGCAAUAUGAAGUUCUUCCAUGACUUCAUCCCUCUCCUUCUUGCUCUUUUCAAGCUCUUCCUUUUCUUUUGCCAAUGCUUCCUCAAUUUCUUUCCUUUGUCUUGACUCCUCAGCAUACAAGCCCUCAGAUGCUUUGGCCCUGCGUAUAGCCUCCCUGGCAUCUCUUUCAGCUUUUGCACGCCUUACUGUCUCUUCAAAUGCUUCUCUCCUUGAAUUUUCAGCCUCUGACAUUGCUUGUUCAAGUUGAUCAUAGAGAGGAUCAUCUAUAUUUCCGUCCUGCUAGAAUCCGUCAAAUAUUAAGCACUUUGAAAAUAAUAAAUGCAAUCAUCAGAUUACCACAAUAACUUAAAUGUUAAAAGUGCAAAAUAGAAAGUUUGAAGGAAUCUUAUUUAUCCCCAACACAAACUUAGAAAAUUGUAACAUGGAUAUCAAAUAAUAAUUUAUACCAGCACACUGGAAGGAGUUGAGUGGUGAGGAUCCUCUUUAAGUUGAGCCGGUGUGCUUAACUCUGAUCCAUUCUCACUCCCUUCCGUUCUAUCAAGUGGAACCAAACCAACAUUGACCAUUCCACUGGAAGGAUAUGUUGACAGAAGGGAGCCCUGAGAAGUACUCCUUGACAACGCAUCACAGUCAUCAGAUGAAGCAGAUGAAACAGAUGAAGCUCCUUCUGCAUCUGACCUGUUCUGUGAAGUUGAUGGCCCUCCAAUGUUAUCUAGGGAAGCAGGAGUUAGAGAUUUACCUCCCUGGUGGCCAAAAGUAACAGAACGUGCCCUGCGGAAUAAAUCUUGAGCUGGAUUGGUGAGUCUUGGGUAACUUUUCUGACCUAGAGUAAUAGACUGUGACCUCAAAUGAUUUGAUUGUCCAAUUUCAGUGUUUGGGCUUGCUUGCUGUAAGGACGGUCUGAGCUCUGUACCAUUUGCAUCCAAAGCACCUUCCUUUGUGUAUAUAAGGUGCUGCUUGCAAAUAAACCAUAUGUGACAAGAAGCAGGUGCUUGUAGGCGCACAGAGAUGGCCUUCUUAGACUUGAUGUCCAUCAUAUUCCUUGAAAAUCGCUUGUCUGCCGCUGCCCCCAUAGCAAGCUUCCUGAUACCAUGCCCAGAAAUAAGUUGCAAAAUUCCCUUCUCAAUACUUUCCAUUUCAAUAUAAAGUUUCUCAGCCUGGACCCCCAUUCGCCGACAAAAAAGAAGGUAUUCGUCCAGUGUUUUAUGCAUGUCUUGCCUUUCAAUUUCGCGGAAAGCCCUGACUUCCUGAUCUUUAAGUGAGCUUGCGUGAAAUUUUGUACCCAUCAACGGAAUCAUCUGAGCGGGUUCGUGAACAUGAAUGAUGCAAAUCUUCCUCCCUCCUGAGUUCUGUAAUGCCCAUGUAAGAAGUGAUUUGUUUUCCUUAAAACUUUUUCCCACUGCAACGUAUAUCUUCUCUUCAAGUACCCGUGCCACCGGCUCCUCCACUAUCUCCCUGGCGGCUGCCAUGCUUCCUGGAACUAUAUAUUCAGGAAAGUUUAUCGGAGUCAUCUGUUGGGUAAUUGCAGGAGCAGGACUCACCACAGCCAUGAUAAUUACAGUAAUUAAACACCUCAAUCAUCAAAACUCACCUAAAUUCUAUUAUUUUCACUCUAUUGGAGACUCUCCAAUGUUCAAAGACUUCAAAUAAUUAACUUAUCUUUCUCAUCAACCUCAAGUCCUUCCCUCUCCAAAACUCUCUCUCUUACUCAAAAAUCCUCCUUGAAUCAAACCUGAAAAUAUCGGAAAAAGGCAAUAGAUAAAGCUCAAGAGAAAUGGAAAUGGAAAAAAAGUGGCUUUUCUGUGUUGGGAGUUUGGAAGCCUACGUAGCUGUGAUUAGGCUUGAAAAGAGGUUGCUUGUCUUAAGCUAUGGGGGCUACAGUGCUUAACCAAACAGGGACUGCAAAUAACAAUAAACAAUUCCCCAGCUCUCCUAUGGCUUCUUCACUUUGGUCUUUCUAUAAUUCUU